GGAGGUUUUACUAUGAGUGGAGUGAGUGGGAGGUUUUACUCCAUUUCUUAAUUUUACUCAUAUAAUUUGCAUCGUUUUUGUGAUUUAAUUCACCGGUUUUGGUGAUUGUGAUUAUUUUGUAUAUGAUUUCUAAGGUGCUUCUGGGAGAUGGGCUGGAAAAUCGAGUUUAGUUCUUCGUUUCGUGAAAGGUCUUUGAGUGGCUAUGAUGGCGUCCUUUGAUCGGGCUAAAAAAUGGGUCGAGGAGCUCAAGGCACAAGGUAGAUAACAGUUGUAAUGCAAAUUUGACAUUUGCUAUUUCCUUUUAUUUUCUGUAGCCCAUUUAAAUGUUG